rnacentral:rRNA from 1 species
GACGAACGCUGGCGGCGUGCUUAACACAUGCCAGUCGAACGGAAAGGCCCUGCUUUUGUGGGGUGCUCGAGUGGCGAACGGGUGAGUAACACGUGAGUAACCUGCCCUUGACUUUGGGAUAACUUCAGGAAACUGGGGCUAAUACCGGAUAGGAGCUCCUGCUGCAUGGUGGGGGUUGGAAAGUUUCGGCGGUUGGGGAUGGACUCGCGGCUUAUCAGCUUGUUGGUGGGGUAGUGGCUUACCAAGGCUUUGACGGGUAGCCGGCCUGAGAGGGUGACCGGCCACAUUGGGACUGAGAUACGGCCCAGACGGCAACGGGAGGCAGCAGUGGGGAAUAGUGCCAAAUGGGCGGAAGCCUGAUGCAGCAACGCCGCGUGCGGGAGGACGGCCUUCGGGUUGUAAACCGCUUUCGCCUGUGACGAAGCGUGAGUGACGGUAAUGGGUAAAGAAGCACCGGCUAACUACGUG